rnacentral:rRNA from 1 species
CGGCGGACGGGUGAGUAACGCGUGAGGAACCUGCCUCAAAGAGGGGGACAACAGUUGGAAACGACUGCUAAUACCGCAUAAGCCCACGGGUCGGCAUCGACCUGAGGGAAAAGGAGCAAUCCGCUUUGAGAUGGCCUCGCGUCCGAUUAGCUAGUUGGUGAGGUAACGGCCCACCAAGGCGACGAUCGGUAGCCGGACUGAGAGGUUGAACGGCCACAUUGGGACUGAGACACGGCCCAG